UACAGAGGUCCCAAGCGUUGUUCGGAAUUACUGGGCGUAAAGCGCACGUAGGCGGCUUUGCAAGUUAGAGAUGAAAGCCCGGGGCUCAACUCCGGAAUUGCCUUUAAAACUGCAUCGCUAGAAUUGUGGAGAGGUAAGUGGAAUUCCGAGUGUAGAGGUGAAAUUCGUAGAUAUUCGGAAGAACACCAGUGGCGAAGGCGACUUACUGGACACAUAUUGACGCUGAGGUGCGAAAGCGUGGGGAGCAAACAGG
rnacentral:rRNA from 1 species